AUGAAACUUGUGAAUGCAAGUGAUCCCAUUGAUGUUCUGAAUAUCAAAAUGAAGAGAUUCAAGAAUUUUUUCAAAGGUUGGGGAUCCAACUUGUUUGGGAAAUCUAGAAAAAGAAGGAGAGAUCUUAGAGAGGAACUUGAACAUCUAGAAAAACUAGAAGAAACUGAUGUGCUUUCCCCUGAAUUAUACUGCAAUAAAGUUGAGAUUUUGGUGGAAUUAUAUAAUCUACUGGUAGAAGAGGAGAUUACAUUGAUGCAAAAAUCCCAUGAAAAUUGGUUGUUGAAAGGGGAUAGAAAUACUGACUACUUUCACAGAAUAGUAAAUGGGAGAAGGAGGAGGAAUACUAUUUUCUCACUUAGUUGUGGGGAUGAGAUGAUAGAGGGGACUAAAAACCUGUUGAAACAUGCAACAAAGUUCUAUAAGGACCUUUUUGGACCUGCAUCUGGAAAUCUAUGCAAGUUAAAAGAGGAUAUGUGGGAGUCUAAUGAGAAAUUGACAGAUAUUGAUAAUUUCAUUCUUACUAGGCCCUUUUAUGAAACAGAAAUAAAAAAUGCUCUCUUUUCUAUGAAGCCAAAUAAAGCACCAGGACCUGAUAAUAUCCCCAUUGAAUUUUUUCAACAUUGCUGGGAAAUAGUAAAAAGUGAGGUGAUGCUCCUGUUUGAGUGGUUUCAUGACAACAAGCUAGAUGUGCAGCGCUUGAACUAUGGGAUCAUUACUUUACUACCUAAAGUUGCGGGUGCUAAUAAAAUCCAGCAGUUCCGCCCCAUAUGCUUGCUGAGAUGCAUUUAUAAACUAAUCACUAAGGUGCUUACUAUUAGACUAGAGCCUUAUGUUGACAUCCUCUUUAGUAGACACCAAAAUGCUUUCAUUAAGAAAAGAGAUAUAAUGGAUGAAAUCAUGUCUUUACAUGAGAUUCUCCAUCAUACUUAUAGUAAGAAAAAAAUCUGGGAUCGUGUUGAAGCUAGACUUCGGGAAAGCUUACGACAAAGUUAA
rnacentral:rRNA from 1 species